rnacentral:rRNA from 1 species
GAUGAACGCUGGCGGCGUGCCUAAUACAUGCAAGUCGAGCGAACAGAUAAGGAGCUUGCUCCUUUGACGUUAGCGGCGGACGGGUGAGUAACACGUGGGUAACCUACCUAUAAGACUGGAAUAACUCCGGGAAACCGGGGCUAAUGCCGGAUAACAUUUAGAACCGCAUGGUUCUAAAGUGAAAGACGGUUUUGCUAUCACUUAUAGAUGGACCCGCGCCGUAUUAGCUAGUUGGUAAGGUAACGGCUUACCAAGGCAACGAUACGUAGCCGACCUGAGAGGGUGAUCGGCCACACUGGAACUGAGACACGGUCCAGACUCCUACGGGAGGCAGCAGUAGGGAAUCUUCCGCAAUGGGCGAAAGCCUGACGGAGCAACGCCGCGUGAGUGAUGAAGGUCUUCGGAUCGUAAAACUCUGUUAUUAGGGAAGAACAAAUGUGUAAGUAACUGUGCACGUCUUGACGGUACCUAAUCAGAAAGCCACGGCUAACUUCGUG